GCCAGGCAUUGUGGCGCAUGCCUGUAAUCCCAGCUACUCGGGAGGCUGAUGCAGGAGAAUUGCUUGAACCCAGGGGGAUGGAGGUUUCAGUGAGCUAAGAUCCCGCCACUGCACUUCAGCCUGGGCAACAGAGUGAUACUCUGUCUCAA
rnacentral:SRP_RNA from 1 species